GAAAUGCGAUAAUUAAUGUGAAUUGCAGAAUUCAGUGAAUCAUCGAGUCUUUGAACGCACAUUGCGCCCCCUGGUAUUCCGGGGGGCAUGCCUGUCCGAGCGUCAUUGCUGCCCUCAAGCACGGCUUGUGUGUUGGGCUUCCGUCCCUGGCAACGGGGACGGGCCCAAAAGGCAGUGGCGGCACCAUGUCUGGUCCUCGAGCGUAUGGGGCUGUGUCACCCGCUCCCGUAGGUCCAGCUGGCAGCUAGCCUCGCAACCAAUCUUUUUAACCAGGUUGACCUCGGAUCAGGUAGGGAUACCCGCUGAACUUAAGC
rnacentral:misc_RNA from 1 species